rnacentral:rRNA from 1 species
AUUGAACGCUGGCGGCAUGCCUUACACAUGCAAGUCGAACGGCAGCACGGACUUCGGUCUGGUGGCGAGUGGCGAACGGGUGAGUAAUACAUCGGAACGUGCCUAGUAGUGGGGGAUAACUACUCGAAAGAGUGGCUAAUACCGCAUGAGAUCUACGGAUGAAAGCAGGGGAUCGCAAGACCUUGUGCUACUAGAGCGGCUGAUGGCAGAUUAGGUAGUUGGUGGGAUAAAAGCUUACCAAGCCGACGAUCUGUAGCUGGUCUGAGAGGACGAUCAGCCACACUGGGACUGAGACACGGCCCAGACUCCUACGGGAGGCAGCGGUGGGGAAUUUUGGACAAUGGGCGCAAGCCUGAUCCAGCAAUGCCGCGUGCAGGAUGAAGGCCUUCGGGUUGUAAACUGCUUUUGUACGGAACGAAAAGCUUCGGGCUAAUACCCUGGAGUCAUGACGGUACCGUAAGAAUAAGCACCGGCUAACUACGUGCCAGCCGCCGCGGUAA